rnacentral:rRNA from 1 species
UACGGAGGGAGCUAGCGUUGUUCGGAAUUACUGGGCGUAAAGCGCGCGUAGGCGGCUAUUCAAGUCGGGGGUGAAAGCCCGGGGCUCAACCCCGGAACUGCCCUCGAAACUAGAUAGCUAGAAUCUUGGAGAGGUCAGUGGAAUUCCGAGUGUAGAGGUGAAAUUCGUAGAUAUUCGGAAGAACACCAGUGGCGAAGGCGACUGACUGGACAAGUAUUGACGCUGAGGUGCGAAAGCGUGGGGAGCAAACAGG